rnacentral:tRNA from 1 species
GCCCUCUUAGUAUAACUAAUACUAAUGAUUUCCACUCAUUCCACCUCAGCUCAACCCCGAGAGAGGGUA